GCAAGUCGAGGGGUAACAUUGGAGCUUGCUCCAGAUGACGACCGGCGCACGGGUGCGUAACGCGUAUAGAACCUACCUUUUACAGAGGGAUAGCCUUUAGAAAUGAAGAUUAAUACCUUAUAGUAUUGAGUACUCGCAUGAUUACUUACUUAAAGAUUUAUCGGUAAAAGAUGGCUAUGCGUCCUAUUAGCUAGAUGGUAAGGUAACGGCUUACCAUGGCAACGAUAGGUAGGGGCCCUGAGAGGGGGAUC
rnacentral:rRNA from 1 species